rnacentral:rRNA from 1 species
CAGCACCUCAAGUGGUCAGGAUGAUUAUUGGGCCUAAAGCAUCCGUAGCCGGCUCUGUAAGUGUUCGGUUAAAUCUGUAUGCUCAACAUACAGGCUGCCGGGAAUACUGCAGAGCUAGGGAGUGGGAGAGGUAGACGGUACUCGGUAGGAAGGGGUAAAAUCCUUUGAUCUAUUGAUGACCACCUGUGGCGAAGGCGGUCUACCAGAACACGUCCGACGGUGAGGGAUGAAAGCUGGGGGAGCAAACCGGAUUAGAUACCCGAGUAGUCC